GACGAACGCUGGCGGCGUGCUUAACACAUGCAAGUCGAACGGUAAGGCCCUUCGGGGUACACGAGUGGCGAACGGGUGAGUAACACGUGGGUGAUCUGCCCUGCACUUCGGGAUAAGCCUGGGAAACUGGGUCUAAUACCGGAUAGGACUCCGGCCUGCAUGGUCUGGGGUGGAAAGCUUUUGCGGUGUGGGAUGGGCCCGCGGCCUAUCAGCUUGUUGGUGGGGUGAUGGCCUACCAAGGCGACGACGGGUAGCCUGCCUGAGUGGGUGACCGGCCACACUGGGACUGAGAGACGGCCCAGACUCCUACGGGAGGCAGCAGUGGGGAAUAUUGCACAAUGGGCGCAAGCCUGAUGCAGCGACGCCGCGUGAGGGAUGACGGCCUUCGGGUUGUAAACCUCUUUCAGCAUCGACGAAGCGAAAGUGACGGUAGGUGCAGAAGAAGGACCGGCCAACUACGUGCCAGCCGCCGCCGUAA
rnacentral:rRNA from 1 species